CGGACGGGUGAGUAAUGUCUGGGAAACUGCCCGAUGGAGGGGGAUAACUACUGGAAACGGUAGCUAAUACCGCAUAACGUCGCAAGACCAAAGCGAGGGACCUCCGGGCCUCGCGCCAUCAGAUGAACCCAUAUGGGAUUAGCUUGUAGGUAAGGUAACGGCUUACCUAGGCGACGAUCCCUAGCUGGUCUGAGAGGAUGAUCAGCCACACUGGGACUGAGACACGGCCCAG
rnacentral:rRNA from 1 species